GGCCAGGUGCCGGGGGCUUACACAUGCAAGUCGAACGAUGAACCACUUCGGUGGGGAUUAGUGGCGAACGGGUGAGUAACACGUGGGCAAUCUGCCCUGCACUCCGGGACAAGCCCUGGAAACGGGGUCUAAUACCGGAUACUGACCACUGCCGGCAUCGGUGGUGGUCGAAAGCUCCGGCGGUGCAGGAUGAGCCCGCGGCCUAUCAGCUGGUUGGUGAGGUAACGGCUCACCAAGGCGACGACGGGUAGCCGGCCUGAGAGGGCGACCGGCCACACUGGGACUGAGACACGGCCCAGACUCCUACGGGAGGCAGCAGUGGGGAAUAUUGCACAAUGGGCGCAAGCCUGAUGCAGCGACGCCGCGUGAGGGAUGACGGCCUUCGGGUUGUAAACCUCUUUCAGCAGGGAAGAAGCGCAAGUGACGGUACCUGCAGAAGAAGCGCCGGCUAACUACGUGCCAGCAGCCGCGGUAAUACGUAGGGCGCGAGCGUUGUCCGGAAUUAUUGGGCGUAAAGAGCUCGUAGGCGGCCUGUCGCGUCGGUUGUGAAAGCCCGGGGCUCAACCCCGGGUCUGCAGUCGAUACGGGCAGGCUAGAGUUCGGUAGGGGGAGAUCGGAAUUCCUGGUGUAGCGGUGAAAUGCGCAGAUAUCAGGAGGAACACCGGUGGCGAAGGCGGAUCUCUGGGCCGACACUGACGCUGAGGAGCGAAAGCGUGGGGAGCGAACAGGAUUAGAUACCCUGGUAGUCCACGCCGUAAACGGUGGGCACUAGGUGUGGGCGACAUUCCACGUCGUCCGUGCCGCAGCUAACGCAUUAGUGCCCCGCCUGGGGAGUACGGCCCGCAAGGCUAAAACUCAAAGGAAUUGACGGGGGCCCGCACAAGCGGCGGAGCAUGUGGCUUUAAUUCGACGCAACGCGAAGACCUUACCCAGGGCUUGGACAUACGCGGAAAACCGUGAGACACGGUUCCCCCUUGUGGCCGUGUACAGGUGGUGCAUGCUGUCGUCAGCUCGUGUCGUGAGAAUGUUGGGUUAAUCCCGCAACGAAGCGCAUCUUGUCCGGUGUGCCAAGCAGCCCCUUCAGGGUGCCUGGAACUCACGGGAACGCGGGUCAACUCUCGAGG
rnacentral:rRNA from 1 species